CAUUUGGCUUAUUUUUCCCUCGUUUCGCAGGUGUGAGCAGGAACCAUCGGCAAAGCCGCUUGGCGAUUGCACCGAACAGUCUUCUAUCGCUGGUUCAGUUAUCGUUACUCUGUAUGUCCAUGGAAGAAUUUCAGACGAAAUGCAGUAAGUUUCAAGUAUUAGCUAUGGAGUUUUUUUUUAGUUUCACAACACAUUGAUCGCCGCCCGCUGUUCGGAACUCUCUAUCUCGUCAUAGGCGUGUAGCUUCUGCUAGGGAAGGAUUGGUUGGUUGAUCAUAUGGUUUGGAAUUUUGGCUGAAACAGGAGCGAUUGGUGCAGUACAGCUUUGUGAAUCUAAUUUGGUCAGCCCCGUUGCCCAUUUCAGAUAAAAAAUCAUUAGAGCAGCCGCCGGCCUUUUAUGUCAGGCAACUAUACACCAAUUCAUGCGCACAAAGGUUGGUUGGGUUCCCAGAGGUUGGUCGAUGGUAAUCGGAGUUGGUCAAUGACGACUAGAGGUUGGCUGACGUGGUCACUAAGGUGGCAGCCAGAGUUGGCCGGUGGCGGUCGCCGAGGUGGUGGCCGGAGUUGGCCAAUGACGAUCGUAGAAGGUGGCGAGCAGAGUGUUGGGUUGUAUGUUCUAAAACUCGCAGUUUGUAAUGUUAACAUUUUUCUAUUAUUAAUAAAGAUGUUAUUGACAUUUAUUCAAUAACACUGUUGUUGGAUAGGCAAAUUGUACCUGUAUAAACUGAAUCUAAUAAACUAAGA